AAAGGCAACUUCACCGAAGCAAAAGAGCUGAAGUGAAGGACCUGCCAUGCAGCUGUUAAUAUUUUAGAUGAUCCACACUUAUUUCAGGCUUCUUCUAAUUGACCAGGAAACUUCUUUAUGGCUUGCAUUCAAGUUGGAAACUGUCAAUUCUUUGGCACUCAGAUUGAAGGCAUGAGAUGAAAACCAAAACAGAAAGAUUUGAACGGAUGUUGCAAGAUAACUACCCCUUUUGAAUGGAUGCUGCAAGACAACUGCAAGUACAGUCUUCCGUCUAAACUAGCCAGGGUGAAAAGGAAACAUGAGCAUAAAUUCUCAGUAAAACAGCUGAGCAUGUGGGAACCAAUCACAUCCCCUCUAACAUAAGAGUUUAGGAGUUGAGAUCAGAGGUCCCCAUCCAAAUACAGGACUCCUGUAGGGAGAUGGAUCAACUCUAAUCUAUCUACCUAUCUACUUUAGGAUUUUUAUAUUGCUGCCCAUUACUGUACUAUUUGAGCACCUUUCACAUAAAACCAAUAGCAAUAGUGAAGAUUCUAGUGGACUUAAAGUGCCACACUCCUACAGGUGUCACGAUAACUAUUAAACCAGCAGAGGAACCCAAAAACCCCUUGAGAAUGCCAUCUGUCUCAGAUGCCUUUUAAAGCACCAAAUGGAAAAUUAAAUGUGAAAAGCAAGAAAAUGACUCUGAAGUCUUCUUCACCUUUACUGUGUGCAGAAAUCCUACACUCAGCAGGCAUCCGAACACAAGACUAAAAGUGCUUGCAAGUUAUAACAAAAAGAAGAAAUCCACUCCAAACAGAUCAAUGCAAUCCCACCACUGGAGAUAAAUCCAUCAGCAGGAUUUCAAGACAAUACAGAAGCCUAAAUUAUCAAGCAAGAAAUGAAGUGGUCUUGUUGGUUCUGACUUCAGAAAGGAUAAGUCUGAGGAGUGGCUAAACCAGUUUCUCAAAGACAAAUGGCAAGCUGAUGCCCCCGUCAGGUGUCAACAAUGCUGAUGGACCAUCACCUAUCCAGUGGCCAUUCUUUGGCAAGAAAGGAGGGACAAAGAGAUCUGCAUCUUAGCAAAGAAACAGAAUGAGGUCUCCUUCCACCACCAUACCCUGUUUCUUGGUUCUCAGCUGGAAAUGCUUUUCAAAGAGGUACUGAAACUAUAAAAAGAAGGGGAAAACACCCAAAGAGACUGCUUGUCUCUCUCCCUGUCCAUUUCACUUUUUGCACCUAAUAUGACAAAAGAAGCAGCUGUUGGACUCUAGGGGAGUUCUGACCUAUGUGCUCUGUAAGCUGCAUGGUGCUGAGCUGCCACGGCCUAGGAGAGGUGCCUCUCACCUGUCCCUGAACUGCUGCAGUGAGAGAGGGCUAGGGGGAAUGCUCU